AUCGCAGAGGGAAAUCAAAACAGAAAGAGAGUGACGAUCGAGGCCAGUGUCCAGAAUAUUCGACAUAUGAAAUACAAGCUCCAGUGAAUCACGAGCUGUACGUGCAGCCUCCGGAUCCAUUCGAGAUAUUGAGAUUUUGCUUCCUUUUUCUGCGAAUCGAUGAUAAUUUGGUUGCUGUUGCAAGAUAGCUGCACUGUAGAACGGGCAAAAA
rnacentral:misc_RNA from 1 species